UUUUUGUUAGGCCUAUUCUCUGUGCUGUCCGCGUUUGACCAAGGGCCGACGCAUGUGAUUGCAGUAACUCCUAAAACCGCAAAUGAUCCGCUUUACACACGCCCGCAAGGCCUGCUAAGCCGACCUAGACUUUCGAAGCAUCCAUCUCUUCCUCCAAUACGUGAAGAGGCAUACGAUCCGCUUUACAAACGUCCGGG